rnacentral:tRNA from 1 species
ACCCAUAGGAUAGCUCAGUUGGUUAGAGCAUGGUGCUGAUAAUGCCAAGGUUGCAGGUUUGAUCCCCAUAUGGGAG